UCUCUAUCUAAUGAAUGGGGAGUCCUCUUUAAAAUACUAUAACAGCAUCAAUUCAUCUUUAAUCUUUUCUACCUUUUAGAUAAGUGAAGAAGAACAAGAGGAAACAAUUCUAAACUUUGAUCCAUUGAUGGUUCUUAAGGAGGUGCCUGCCAAAGAAAAUGCACAUAUUUGUAAAUGUGAUUUAUUUUAAGUUCAUUUGUUAAGGAUCGAUUGUAAUAUCUUCUUGACAAGAAAACUUACUGUCAUUUGAACCUGCAAAAUCAUAAUCAAGUCAAUAAGUAGAUCAUCANNNNNN
rnacentral:lncRNA from 1 species